AGGGAAGGCAGCAGGCGCGCAAAUUACCCACUCCCGGCACGGGGAGGUAGUGACGAAAAAUAACGAUACGGGACUCAUCCGAGGCCCCGUAAUCGGAAUGAGUACACUUUAAACCCUUUAACGAGUAUCCAUUGGAGGGCAAGUCUGGUGCCAGCAGCCGCGGUAAUUCCAGCUCCAAUAGCGUAUAUUAAAGUUGUUGCGGUUAAAAAGCUCGUAGUUGGACUUGUGUCCCACNCUGUCGGUUCACCGUUCGUCGGUGUUUAACUGGCAUGCCCGUGCGGACGUCCUGCUGGUGGAUGCAGCGGGCCGUGGGCUUCUGGCCUGCGUGUCGGCGGUCCGAUUCAAUCCUACCGCGGUGCUCUUUACCGAGUGUCGAGGUGGGCCAGCACGUUUACUUUGAACAAAUUAGAGUGCUCAAAGCAGGCAGUGGUUCGCCUGAAUAUUGUGUGCAUGGAAUAAUGGAAUAGGACCUCGGUUCUAUUUUGUUGGUUUUCGGAACUUGAGGUAAUGAUUAAUAGGGACAGACGGGGGCAUUCGUAUUGCGACGUUAGAGGUGAAAUUCUUGGAUCGUCGCAAGACGAACCUAAGCGAAAGCAUUUGCCACGAGUGUUUUCGUUAAUCAAGAACGAAAGUUAGAGGUUCGAAGGCGAUCAGAUACCGCCCUAGUUCUAACCAUAAACGAUGCCAGCUAGCGAUCCGCCGAAGUUCCUCCGAUGACUCGGCGGGCAGCUUCCGGGAAACCAAAGCUUUUGGGUUCCGGGGGAAGUAUGGUUGCAAAGCUGAAACUUAAAGGAAUUGACGGAAGGGCACCACCAGGAGUGGAGCCUGCGGCUUAAUUUGACUCAACACGGGAAACCUCACCAGGCCCGGACACCGGAAGGAUUGACAGAUUGAGAGCUCUUUCUUGAUUCGGUGGGUGGUGGUGCAUGGCCGUUCUUAGUUGGUGGAGCGAU
rnacentral:rRNA from 1 species